rnacentral:rRNA from 1 species
UACGGAGGGUGCGAGCGUUGUCCGGAAUCACUGGGCGUAAAGGGCGCGUAGGCGGCUCGUGAAGUCAGUGGUGAAAACCCAGGGCUCAACCCUGGGCCUGCAUUCGAUACGGGCAGACUAGAGUAUGGCAGGGGAGACUGGAAUUCCUGGUGUAGCGGUGAAAUGCGCAGAUAUCAGGAAGAACACCCGUGGCUAAGGCGGCUCUCUAGUACGGUACUGACGCUGAGACGCGAAAGCGUGGGGAGCGAACAGG